CUACACAUGCAAGUCGAGCGAGACCUUCGGGUCUAGCGGCGGACGGGUUAGUAACCCUUGGGAACGUGCCCUUCUCUGCGGAAUAGCCACUGGAAACGGUGAGUAAUACCGCAUACGCCCUUCGGGGGAAAGAUUUAUCGGAGAAGGAUCGGCCCGCGUUAGAUUAGAUAGUUGGUGGGGUAAUGGCCUACCAAGUCUACGAUCUAUAGCUGGUUUUAGAGGAUGAUCAGCAACACUGGGACUGAGACACGGCCCAGACUCCUACGGGAGGCAGCAGUGGGGAAUCUUAGACAAUGGGCGCAAGCCUGAUCUAGCCAUGCCGCGUGUGUGAUGAAGGUCUUAGGAUCGUAAAGCACUUUCGCCAGGGAUGAUAAUGACAGUACCUGGUAAAGAAACCCCGGCUAACUCCGUGCCAGCAGCCGCGGUAAUACGGAGGGGGUUAGCGUUGUCCGGAAUUACUGGGCGUAAAGCGUACGUAGGCGGAUCAGAAAGUUGGGGGUGAAAUCCCGGGGCUCAACCCCGGAACUGCCUCCAAAACUCCUGGUCUUGAGUUCGAGAGAG
rnacentral:rRNA from 1 species